rnacentral:rRNA from 1 species
UACGUAGGCAGCAAGCGUUGUUCGGAAUUACUGGGCGUAAAGAGUGUGUAGGCGGUGUUGUAAGUUUGUGGUGAAAUCUCCCGGCUUAACUGGGAGGGUGCGGCGAAAACUGGAAUGCUAGAGGAUGGGAGAGGUAAGCGGAAUUCCUGGUGUAGCGGUGAAAUGCGUAGAUAUCAGGAGGAACACCUGUGGUGUAGACAGCUUACUGGACCAUUUCUGACGCUGAGACACGAAAGCGUGGGUAGCAAACAGG